GGCGCCAUAGCCAAGUGGUAAGGCAAUGGUCUGCAAAACCGUGAUCAUCAGUUCAAAUCUGAUUGGCGCCUCCA
rnacentral:tRNA from 1 species